GCACGUAACGAGGAGACAUCUAAACAUGGCGUCUGUUACGCAGAAAUUGUUGCUUUUUCGGUUUGCGGUGCGAAGUUUUACCGUUUCACCUUCGCCGACGUGCAUCUAAAAAAACCUACUGUCAGCAAAAGCUAGGAAUGGAGGAAGGAUUACUAUAUUACAUGUUACUCGUACCUCUCACCGUCCCGAUUGCGUUGUUUUUCAUUUUCUGGGGUUGGAUGGGCUUCCAAGCUGUGCUGAACAACUGAACAGUCUCGACUGGACUCGGCGUCGCUUUGGUAGUGGUUUUGAGGCGCCGAAACUUGGUCCCCGGCGUUGUCUGCCGCCUGCCGAGAUUCUUCGACGGCAGCCGGACUUUCUUCCUCGCCCACUUCGCUGUUUCCGACGGCCGCUUGUCCCAGCUCGACCGCCAGUCCACCUUCGCUGAUAUGGCUCAAGACCAAGGACACCACCCCAAUGAGCGGAUCUCAACAAUACUUGCCACAAACGUAGCAGCAAGUGUAGGUCAAUAAAUCGUUCCUACUGUUA